rnacentral:piRNA from 1 species
UGCUUACUCAGAUGAUAUAUCAAACUUGGU